UUUAGUUGCUUUUUGUAUAGGUGUAAGGUAUGGGUCUUCUUUCAGAGUUCUGCAUAUCUGUGCAGUUUUCUCAGGACCAUUUUUUGAAGAAACUGUCCCUUGUACCUGGGAUUGAUCUUCGGCUCCUUCUUGACAGAUAGAUUAGUUGUAGAUAUGUGUGUGUUAUUUCAGAUGUUUCUUUUCUGUUCCUUUGUUCUGUAUGUCAGUUUUUUUACUAUACCAAGCUGUUUUGAUUGUAACUGUCCUGUUCUGUGUCUUGCAAUCUGUUAUUGCGAUGCUUCGAGUUUUGUCAAUGUUGUGUAAGGUUGCUUUCUCUAUUCAGAUGUUCUGCGUUUUCAUAUGAAUUUUAGCAUUGUUUUCUCUCCAUCUGGGCAAAAUGCUAUUAGACCUUUGCUUAGGAUCCCAUUUUGUCUGUAAAUUGCUUAUGGUAGAAUGGAUAUUUGCAUUAUGUUAAUUUUGCCAGUGAAUCAGUAUGAAAGAUUUUUCCAUUUUUGUGUGUCUUCUUCCAUUUCUUUAAUGUUUUGUAACUUUUUUGGCUGGUGCCGCGGCUCACUAGGCUAAUCCUCCGCCUAGCGGCACCAGCACACCGGGUUCUAGUCCCGGUCGGGGUGCCGGAUACUGUCCCGGUUACCCCUCUUCCAGGCCAGCUCUCUGCUGUGGCCAGGGAGUGCAGUGGAGGAUGGCCCAAGUGCUUAGGCCCUGCACCCCAUGGGAGACCAGGAAAAAGCACCUGGCUCCUGGCUCCUGCCAUCGGAUCAACGCGGUGCGCCAGCCGCAGCAUGCCAGCUGUGGCGGCCAUUGGAGGGUGAACCAACAGCAAAGGAAGACCUUUCUCUCUGUCUCUCUCUCUCUCUCACUGUCCACUCUGCCUGUCAAAAAAAAAAACUUUUUUGCAGACAUUUUCAUGGAUAUGAAACUGGACACCGAGUUGACGCUGAAUUUCAGCUGCUGGGUAAUCUUCCAUUUCUGGAACCUCCUUGGCUUCCUGGUAAAACCCAGCUGUGCCUUCACCCUGGACAGGAGCAGCUGAGCACGGAUGUGAAACUCACCCAGAGUAGACGCUGAAGCUCAGCUGCCGGGUGUUCUUCCAGUUCUGGAGACUGCACAGCUUCCUGCUCAAUGUCAGCUGGACCUUCUUCCGGGAGAGAAGCAACUGGCAGCUCUGUGUGAAAGCUUCUGCUUUCAUGGAGUUUUUGUUCCGAUUGCUGUUUGGGGGCUGGGGAUGACUUAGUCCUGCAGCACUUUACCAGGUAGGAGUUCUUGAAAUAUCUUCCCCUUAUGUUGCAAUGUAUACUUUCUAGUACUUGCUAUUCCUCAUUUGAUUUUUUCCAUCUCUGAUAUUUCCUUUAUUUUAUGAUCUGUCAAACCAUGUCUUUUUGUUUUACACUGUCACAUUGUUUAGGAAUGCAAAUUCUUCCUUAUGUUUUACUUUAUAGGAUGUGUCAUUCUUUACAAUGCAGUGUUAUUUUUGAGUCACACUUAUUCUGAAUUAUAUAGCCUUUAUACUCUUAUUUUUUAGGUUAUUUCUACAGAAAGAUAUGCAAGAUUACAUUUUUAUGAAAGUCAGGAUUUUCCAUGUACAGAAUUUUAUGAAUGUGCAAAUUUUAUGUAUUUAAUUUUCCUGAAAUGUGAGUGCUUACCUGUUUUAUAUAAAUUUCUAUUAAAGAUUGAUGUUGUCUCCAGUGGAUGUAUUUGGUUUUUUAUUUUUUUAUUUUUGACAGGCAGAGUGGACAGUGAGAGAGAGAGACAGAGAGAAAGGUCUUUCUUUUGCUGUUGGUUCACCCUCCAAUGGCCGCUGCGGCUGGCAUGCUGUUGCCGGCGCGUCAUGCUGCUCUGAAGGCAGGAGCCGGGUGCUUCUCCUGGUCUCCCAUGAGGUGCAGGGCCCAAGGACUUGGGCUAUCCUCCACUCACUCCUGGGCCAUAGCAGAGAACUGGCCUGGAACAGGGGCAACUGGGACAGAAUCUGGCGACCCAACCGGUACAAGAACCCGGUGUGCCGGCACCUCAAGGGUGGAGGAUUAGCCAAUUGAA